rnacentral:rRNA from 1 species
GCGGUGGAUGCCUAGGCGUCGAGAGGCGAUGAAGGACGUCGGAACCUGCGAAAAGCCAUAGGGAGCUGGUAACCGAGCUGUGAUCUAUGGAUGUCCGAAUGGGGAAACCCACCCGCAAGGGUAUUUGCACCUGAAUGCAUAGGGUGUAAAGGCGAACCCGGGGAACUGAAACAUCUCAGUACCCGGAGGAAAGGAAAUCAACGGAGACUCCGUGAGUAGCGGCGAGCGAAAGCGGAUUGCGACUUAAGUCAGUGAACGCGUUGGAAAGCGCGGCCAAAGAAGGUGAUAGCCCUGUAGUUGGAUGAUGUCGCUCAGCCCUAGAGUAGCGUCGGUGUCGUGAAACCCGGCGUGAACAUGGGGGGUCCACCCUCCAAGGCUAAGUACUACUUGACGACCGAUAGUUAACCAGUAAGGCGACUGAAUGAUGAAAACUACCCCUGCUAGGGGUGUGAAAGAGUAGCUGAAACCAUGUGCUUACACAGCGGUCAGAGCCCUUCGGGGUGAUGGCGUGCCUUUUGCAUAAUGACCCGGCGAGUUACUCUCAUUGGCGAGGUUAAGGCCUAGCGGGCCGAAGCCGAAGCGAAAGCGAGUCUGAAAUAGGCGUUGAGUCGAUGGGAGUAGACGCGAAACCUUGUGAUCUACCCAUGGGCAGGCUGAAGGCCGGGUAAAACCGGCUGGAGGGCCGAACGCACCAACGUUGAAAAGUUGGGCGAUGACCUGUGGGGAGGACUAAAAGUGUAAUCAAACUGGGAGAUAGCUCGUUCUCUCCGAAAUAUUUUUAGGAAUAGCCUCUUGCGGCAACUGUUGGGGGUAGAGCCACUGGAUACGGAUGGGGCCCUCGGGUACCCACUGUAACCAAACUCCGAAUACCAACAGCCAAGGCAAGGGAGUCAGCCCACGAGUGACAAUAUCCGUGGACAAAAGGGAAACAUCCCAGACCGCCAGCUAAGGUCCCUGAACAUUGCUUAGUUCUAAAGGAAGUCGAAGCGCAAAGACAGCCAGGAUGUUGGCUUAGAAGCAGC